rnacentral:rRNA from 1 species
UGGGGAAUAUUGGGCAAUGGGCGGAAGCCUGACCCAGCGACGCCGCGUGAGGGAUGAAGGCCUUCGGGUUGUAAACCUCUUUCAGCAGGGAAGAAGCGAAAGUGACGGUACCUGCAGAAGAAGCACCGGCUAACUAUGUGCCAGCAGCCGCGGUAAUACAUAGGGUGCAAGCGUUGUCCGGAAUUAUUGGGCGUAAAGAGCUCGUAGGUGGCUCGUCACGUCGAAUGUGAAACCCUGAGGCUCAACCUCAGGCCUGCAUCCGAUACGGGCGAACUGGAGUGUGGUAGGGGAGACUGGAAUUCCUGGUGUAGCGGUGGAAUGCGCAGAUAUCAGGAGGAACACCAAUGGCGAAGGCAGGUCUCUGGGCCAUUACUGACACUGAGGAGCGAAAGCGUGGGGAGCGAACAGG